rnacentral:rRNA from 1 species
AUUGAACGCUGGCGGCAGGCCUAACACAUGCAAGUCGAGCGGCAGCGGGAAAGUAGCUUGCUACUUUUGCCGGCGAGCGGCGGACGGGUGAGUAAUGCCUGGGAAAUUGCCCAGUCGAGGGGGAUAACAGUUGGAAACGACUGCUAAUACCGCAUACGCCCUACGGGGGAAAGCAGGGGACCUUCGGGCCUUGCGCGAUUGGAUAUGCCCAGGUGGGAUUAGCUAGUUGGGGAGGUAAUGGCUCACCAAGGCGACGAUCCCGCGCUGGGCUGAGAGGAAGAUCAGCCACACUGGAACUGAGACACGGUCCAGACUCCUACGGGAGGCAGCAGUGGGGAAUAUUGGACAAUGGGGGAAACCCUGACGCAGCCAUGCCGCGUGUGUGAAGAAGGCCUUCGGGUUGUAAAGCACUUUCAGCGAGGAGGAAAGGUUGAUGCCUAAUACGUAUCAACUGUGACGUUACUCGCAGAAGAAGCACCGGCUAACUCCGUGCCAGCCGCCGCCGUAAAAC